rnacentral:tRNA from 1 species
CAAGACGUAGCUUUAACAAAAGCAUUCAGCUUACGCCUGAAAGAUGUCCGCUAACCAUACGGACCGUCUUGA